AUUGAACGCUGGCGGCAUGCCUUACACAUGCAAGUCGAACGGCAGCACGGGAGCAAUCCUGGUGGCGAGUGGCGAACGGGUGAGUAAAGUAUCGGAACGUGCCCAGUCGUGGGGGAUAACGUAGCGAAAGUUACGCUAAUACCGCAUACGAUCUAUGGAUGAAAGCGGGGGAUCGCAAGACCUCGCGCGAUUGGAGCGGCCGAUAUCAGAUUAGGUAGUUGGUGGGGUAAAGGCCACCAAGCCGACGAUCUGUAGCUGGUCUGAGAGGACGACCAGCCACACUGGGACUGAGACACGGCCCAGACUCCUACUGGAGGCAGCAGUGGGGAAUUUUGGACAAUGGGCGAAAGCCUGAUCCAGCCAUGCCGCGUGCAGGAUGAAGGCCUUCGGGUUGUAAACUGCUUUUGUACGGAACGAAAAGGACUGCCCUAAUACGGUGGUCCCAUGACGGUACCGUAAGAAUAAGCACCGGCUAACUACGUGCCAGCCGCCGCCGUAA
rnacentral:rRNA from 1 species